GAUGAACGCUGACAGAAUGCUUAACACAUGCAAGUCUUUGGCGAAUCUGUGCUUGCACAGGCUAGCCAAGGCGGACGGGUGAGUAACGCGUAAAGAACUUGCCCUGCAGACAGGGAUAACAGACGGAAACGACUGAUAACACCUGAUACAGUUGCCGGCACGCAUGUGCCUGGCAAUGAAAAGAGAUGCUGCAGGAGAGCUUUGCGUCCUAUUAGCUUGUUGGUGAGGUGACGGCUCACCAAGGCGAUGAUAGGUAGCCGGCCUGAGAGGGUGAACGGCCACAAGGGGACUGAGAUACGGCACUUACUCCUACGGGAGGCAGCAGUGGGGAAUAGUGGACAAUGGGGGCAACCCUGAUACAGCAAUUCUGUGUGCACGAAGAAGGUUUUCGGAUUGUAAAGUGCUUUCAGCAGGGAAGAAGAAAGUGACGGUACCUGCAGAAGAAGCGACGGCUAAAUACGUG
rnacentral:rRNA from 1 species